AUUCGGCUGACGAGUCCCAAAUAGGACGAACCGCGCGUCAUGGAU
rfam:Schistosoma mattheei strain Denwood, Zambia genome assembly, scaffold: SMTD_scaffold0008301